AUACUUACCUUAUUCCGAUUAACCCCGCUCAUGAAUGGGGGGAAUCAGCGUGGAGGGCCUGCAUUGCACAGCGCGGAGUAGCUCCAUGCUCCAUUGUCCUUCGGGACCAUGGGGGGUGUAAUUUUUGAUUUACCACUUCUUUCAUUGUGGA
rnacentral:snRNA from 1 species